rnacentral:rRNA from 1 species
AUUUAACGCUGGCGGCAGGCAUAACACAUGCAAGUCGAACAAGUGGCGCACGGGUGAGUAAUGUCUGGGAAAAUGCAUGAUGGAGGGGGAUAAAUACUAGAAACGGUAGCUAUUACCGAAUACCCUCAAAUGUGCCCAGGUGGGAUUAGCUAGUUGGUGGGGUAGCUGCGCACCAAGGAGACGAUCCCUAGCUGGUCUGAGAGUAUGACCAGCCACACUGGAACUGAGACACGGUCCAGACUCCUACGGGAGGCAGUAGUGGGGAAUAUUGCACAAUGGGCGCAAGCCUGAGGCAGCCAUGCCGCGUGUAUGAAGAAGGCCUUCGGGUUGUAAAGUACUUUCAGCGGGGAGGCGUUACCCGCAGAAUAAGCACCGGCUAACUCCGUGCCAGCAGCCGCGGUAAUUC